rnacentral:rRNA from 1 species
ACGUAGGUUGCGAGCGUUGUUCGGAUUUAUUGGGCGUAAAGGGUUCGUAGGGGGUUGGCUAAGUCUGACGUGAAAUCCCGGAGCUUAACUCCGGAACUGCGUUGGAAACUGGUCGACUAGAGCGUCGGAGAGGGGAGUGGAAUUCCUGGUGUAGCGGUGGAAUGCGUAGAUAUCAGGAGGAACACCGAAAGCGAAGGCAGCUCCCUGGACGACUGCUGACCCUGAGGAACGAAAGCGUGGGGAGCAAACAG